AGUUGGUGGAGCGAUUUGUCUGGUUAAUUCCGAUAACGAACGAGACUCUAGCCUACUAAAUAGUAAGCGGAUUUUCUAGUCCGUUGACUUCUUAGAGGGACAAGUGGUGUCUAGCCACACGAGAUUGAGCAAUAACAGGU
rnacentral:rRNA from 1 species